GUCAUUACCUCAACCGCAAGGAGGGGGAUGCCUAAGGCAGGGCUAGUGACUGGGGUGAAGUCGUAACAAGGUAGCCGUACCGGAAGGUGUGGCUGGAUCACCUCCUUAAAGGGAGACCUAAUUCAGGUAGGCGACGAAAAAAAAGUAGUCCCUACCAAGAAUCAAUCCCAAAAGGUCGGAGCGAGGCAAAAUUGGCUUUCAAACUAGGUUCUGGGUUCACAUAAGACCUGAAUCAGGAACAAGGGCUAUUAGCUCAGGUGGUUAGAGCGCACCCCUGAUAAGGGUGAGGUCCCUGGUUCGAGUCCAGGAUGGCCCACCUGCACAGGUGGCCAAAACAAAGAAAAAAAGCUCCGAAUCAGCACCUUAUCUUAUUUAUAUAUAAGAGAGAAUGCUGGCUCUGAGUAAAGAGUCCAGAGGAACCUUGAAAACUGCAUAGAGCUAGGUGAAAAAGCCAAAAAAGAAGACCGCAAGGUC
rnacentral:misc_RNA from 1 species